CUGGCAAGGAAGAUAUCUCUCCUGAUUAAUUGGUAUAAGGAAUUUACUCAAGUCACACAGAUCCUUCCCAUUUAGCCAAUAAUGCCACUGAUGUGAAUUAGAAGGAGCCAAGAUGAGAGCCAGAGCUUCAGGCUGGUGUAGGCAAGUUCCAGCACCACAUGUGAAAGUGUGAAGAUCAGAGGAAAACCAUAUCCUGGCUGAAGAUGAGACCUCUCUCUUCCAUCACCCAAAGGGCCCCUGUGACUGUUCUCAUGUCACUGUGAAGUCACCAUGGGGUUUGCGCUCCUUGGGGACCAGAGGCUUGGCAGCCCUUGCCACCCCAGCAUUUUGGCCAGUGGCGGGCAGUGGGGCAGGCCCAGCGCUGAACAUGGGCACUUCCCUGGGGACAGACAGUGACAUGGGGCCACCGUGGGUCCCCUUGGUGGGGCCUAUGGCUGUGGGGAGCUGGAGUCCAACUCUGUUGUGGCCUCACCGGGCAGAGCUGGCAGCCCCACAGCUGACAUGGGAUCCUGGGCCUGGUCAGGUAGGGGAACCCCAGGGGACAGGGACAGGCAGGGCUAUUGGUGCCCUCAGGGCCCUGGCAACAUUUGACAUCAGAUUCUGCAGCAAAGAUACCCAUUCCAGGAACAGACAGGUGGAUUUGCUCCCUAACAGACAUCUCCACAACCUCCCAGGAGGUGAUGUGACAAAUGCAGGAGUCAGAUCUCUUCUUAUGUUUUGUCAAGGGCACAAAAGUCGGGUCUUGAGGAAGGUCAUGGCAAAAAAUGAAUAA
rnacentral:lncRNA from 1 species